UUUAUUAACAUUUAUUUUCUUUUUUCUCUUUUCUCUUCCUCCUCCUCCUCUUCUUCACUGCUGGUGUCGACGAAUAUUAUAUAAUUUUUGGGGGAAGAUAUGCAAUGUAAUUAAACGGGCUCAAAAGAGAGAAGAUUGCAAGAAGAUGAUU
rnacentral:ribozyme from 13 species